AUAAGCUGAUUGGAAUGUUUGAGUAACGGGAGGCCAAUGGAGUAACUCAUCAAUCAAAGGUGGUACAAAAACCUGACUAGGCUGUGCAGCAUUAUAAACUGCAAAAAACAAUAUUCCAACCAAGAAUUUUCCAGGUUGACUGUUUACAGCUCACAUUACAAAUCUCGGAUCGAGCAGGAAGAGAUUGUUCAAGUGGAGACUCCGAGAGUGAAGGUCCAGUGCCAUUUCCUGUCAGUAACGUUACCACAGAGGGUUUCACCUCUGAAAAACUUUCCACAUUCCCUUCAGAUGGUGCAAAACCAGACACAGGCUUCAGAUAAACCUGCUUAUCAAGGACAAACUAAGACUGUCAUUUCUGCAGAAGAGGACUUGAUACAU